GGCGAACGCUGGCGGCGUGCUUAACACAUGCAAGUCGAACGGAAAGGCCCUGCUUUUGUGGGGUGCUCGAGUGGCGAACGGGUGAGUAACACGUGAGUAACCUGCCCUUGACUUUGGGAUAACUUCAGGAAACUGGGGCUAAUACCGGAUAGGAGCUCCUGCUGCAUGGUGGGGGUUGGAAAGUUUCGGCGGUUGGGGAUGGACUCGCGGCUUAUCAGCUUGUUGGUGGGGUAGUGGCUUACCAAGGCUUUGAAGGGUAGCCGGCCUGAGAGGGUGACCGGCCACAUUGGGACUGAGAUACGGCCCAGACUCCUACGGGAGGCAGCAGUGGGGAAUAUUGCACAAUGGGCGGAAGCCUGAUGCAGCAACGCCGCGUGCGGGAUGACGGCCUUCGGGUUGUAAACCGCUUUCGCCUGUGACGAAGCGUGAGUGACGGUAAUGGGUAAAGAAGCACCGGCUAACUACGUG
rnacentral:rRNA from 1 species